rnacentral:rRNA from 1 species
CCUACGGGGGGCAGCAGUGAGGAAUAUUGGUCAAUGGCCGCAGGGCUGAACCAGCCAAGCCGCGUGAGGGAUGACGGCCCUAUGGAUUGUAAACCUCUUUUGCCAGGGAGCAAAGGGCGCCACGCGUGGCGCUUUGCGAGUACCUGAAGAAAAAGCAUCGGCGAACUCCGUGCCAGCAGCCGCGGUAAUACGGAGGAUGCGAGCGUUAUCCGGUUUUAUUGGGUUUAAAGGGUGCGCAGGCGGAAUGUCAAGUCAGCGGUAAAAUUUCGGGGCUAAACCCGGUCGUGCCGUUGAAACUGGGGUUCUUGAGUGAGCGAGAAGUAUGCGGAAUGCGUGGUGUAGCGGUGAAAUGCAUAGAUAUCACGCAGAACUCCGAUUGCGAAGGCAGCAUACCGGCGCUCAACUGACGCUCAUGCACGAAAGCGUGGGUAUCGAACAGGAUUAGAUACCCGUGUAGUC